rnacentral:antisense_RNA from 1 species
GGUGGAAUAAGGUGAUACUAAAGGCUUCGGUCAACGCCGGGGCCUUUUUGAAGGCUGAUAAAUAAGAGAGAAGAAAAAACAGAAGAAACGCUUGAAUGGUGCGUCCGAGUGGACUCGAACCACCGACCCCCACCA